GGCAAGAUGGCCGAGCGGUCUAAGGCGCCACGUUAAGGUUCCACCCUUAAUAACAUCCUCUGGAUUCCGUGGUCCGAAAGGGCGUGGGUUCGAAUCCCACUCUUGUCA